ACAGGUGCUGCAUGGCUGUCGUCAGCUCGUGUUGUGAAAUGUUGGGUUAAGUCCCGCAACGAGCGCAACCCUUAUCCUUUGUUGCCAGCGGUCCGGCCGGGAACUCAAAGGAGACUGCCAGUGAUAAACUGGAGGAAGGUGGGGAUGACGUCAAGUCAUCAUGGCCCUUACGACCAGGGCUACACACGUGCUACAAUGGCGCAUACAAAGAGAAGCGACCUCGCGAGAGCAAGCGGACCUCAUAAAGUGCGUC
rnacentral:rRNA from 1 species